GCCAAACAACUAGCUUAACUACACAAAAAAAUUUACACCAUAAAUACCAAAAAUUUAACCCAAAAACAAUAAACUAAACCAUUACACACCUUAGUACGGGAGACAGAAAAGGACCUAUAUUAAAAGCUAUAGAAAAAGUACCGCAAGGGAACGUUGAAAAAGAAAUGAAAUAACCCACACAAGCCAUAAAAAUCAAAGACUAAACCUUGUACCUUUUGCAUCAUGAUUUAGCAAGCAUACCCAAGCAAAGAGAACUUUAGUUUGAGGCCCCGAAACCAAGUGAGCUACCCCGAGACAGCCUGUACAAAAUUAGGGCCAACCCAUCUCUGUGGCAAAAGAGUGGAAAGAGCUCCGGGUAGAAGUGACAAACCUAUCGAACUUGGUGAUAGCUGGUUACCUAGAAAAUGAAUAAAAGUUCAGCCUCAUGCACCCCAAAUCAAAAACGCACAGCACAAAGACCGCUGAGAAAAACAUGAGAGUUAGUUUAAGGAGGUACAGCCCCUUAAACAAAGGAUACAACCUUAACAGGAGAAUAAAGAUUAUACUAAAAAAAACAUAAUGUCCCAGUGGGCCUAAAAGCAGCCACCUAAACAGAAAGCGUCAAAGCUCAGACAAACAAAAGUUUAUUAUACCAAUAAACAAUCUUACUUCCCCAAAAAUACUAGGACACUCCAUGCAACCAUGGAAGAGAAUAUGCUAAAAUGAGUAACAAGAAGAACUCAAACUUCUCCAAGCACAAGUGUAAAUCAGACCGGAUCAACCACUGAUAAUUAACGAACCCAAAAAAAGAGGGUAAUAUGAAAACUACAAAAAUCAGGAAAACCCCAAAACCAAAAAUCGUUAUCCCCACACUGGAGUGCAAAAAGGAAAGACUAAAAGAAAAGGAAGGAACUCGGCAAACACAAGCUUCGCCUGUUUACCAAAAACAUCGCCUCCUGCAACAAUCAGUAUAAGAGGUCCAGCCUGCCCAGUGACUACAAGUUAAAUGGCCGCGGUAUAUUAACCGUGCAAAGGUAGCGCAAUCACUAGUCCUUUAAAUAGGGACCUGUAUGAAUGGCUAGACGAGAGCCUAGCUGUCUCCCAUUUCUAGUCAGUGAAAUUGACCUAUCCGUGCAGAGGCGGGUAUAAAAAUACAAGACGAGAAGACCCUUUGGAGCUUAAGGUACAAGACCCACUCAUGUUAAACAAACAUACAUAAAAACUUAAAAAUUAAUGAAUAUGAAACUUUACCUUCGGUUGGGGCGACCACGGAGAAAAAACCAACCUCCGAGUGGAUUGAACAACACUUAAAACCAAGAGAGACAUCUCCAAGAAACAGAACAUCUGACCAAAAAUGACCCGGCCAAAAGCCGACCAACGAACCAAGUUACCCAAGGGAUAACAGCGCAAUCCUCUCCCAGAGCCCAUAUCAACGAGGGGGUUUACGACCUCGAUGUUGGAUCAGGACAUCCUAAUGGUGCAGCCGCUAUUAAGGGUUCGUUUGUUCAACGAUUAAAGUCCUACGUGAUCUGAGUUCAGACCGGAGUAAUCCAGGUCAGUUUCUAUCUGUAACGCCAAUUUUCCUAGUACGAAAGGACCGGAAAAAGAGGGGCCCACCCUAAAAGAGCGCCCCACCCCAAAUAAAUGAACAUAAAUAAAUUAAGCAAAGGGAGAGCAUAAUC
rnacentral:rRNA from 1 species